CAGAAGAGAACUUUUUUGGGAAUUCUUCUGGGAGUGAAUGGCACCAUUAAAUUUCCAAAAGAAGGCUCCUCCAACAAAGAGCUCUUCACCUGAAUAUUUUGCAAGAGACACACUCUGGAGGUAAGGUUGUUAGUUAGAAUAGUCCUUGCUUUCUAGAAGCUGUGUCUGGGUAGAAAAUGAUAUGUUAAUUUCUUGCAGUCUGAUGAUUUGAGUACAUUUUAAUGGAUUCCAGUGGCCACAUAGCACAGUGGGUUAAAUGUCAGAGCUUUUGUGUAUAGCUUUUCUACAUUUCAGUAUAUUUCCUUCCAACAUGAAGGGUUUCCUUAUAACUUUUCUUCUCUCAUCCAGUUGACAGUACUUCUUUAUGGCUGGAUCCAUUGUAUUGCUAGAAAAUUGUAUUCAUGAGAUACAGUAUAUUCUCAGUGACUCCGACUAGAAAGUUGACAAAUAGUUUUGUCUGAAAUAAUUGAUCAAAUGAAUGAGCUUUAAGGAGCCAAGAACAGCAGGGAAGAGACAGAUACAAAAUUUGAAGUUGCUGAAGAAUGUCCUUAACUUUUUAGCCCAUCAAAAGGAGAAAAUGCAAUACAAUAGUACUUGGCAUUCUUUAUGUUAGGAAGCUAUAAAGUGAUUUUUGUAGCUAUAGUGUGGAUCCAGCUGCUAGAAAUGUGGCUUUCUCUUUGUACUCUACAUAGAUUUGUUCCAUCACAUGUAUGGGAAUAGUAAGAAUUUCAUGACCCCCUGCCUCUUUAGGGCAUGUGUUUCUAACCUCUGUCAUUUUUUCUCUCUGUGUCUUUGUAGGUGAUGACCCCAAAGACAAGGUAUAUUUGUUAGAGUUGGUGCCAUUACUUCUACCACCAGCUUCACCAAAACAAUGAUAUAGUCUUCCUUAUGCACAGUCACUUCUCUUUCCUGUGUGGCAGUGGAUACCUCCUGCAGAUAAGAAAUGCUUAACUGAGAAAUGCUCAUGUUGGGAUAUCAUCGAUGAGACUUUAAUUUGGGCAUGGUGACUGUUUCCCUUGCUGCCACUUGACUCAAACCCAGGAGCCUCACUAGAGGAAAUAAUAUUACACAAGAAGCUCAAAAUGAUGGAAUUGCUCAGUGCUCCCAUAAAGAUACACUUAUAAUUUUCCUUUGCCAUGUGAUAAAUUUUUGAAAAUAGGAUACAGUCAAAAGAAACUCUGCAUGAUAUUUUUUAAAAACUCGACAUUUAAAUAAUUAAUAUAUAAAUUAAGUGCCCUCCUCUCAUUAAUGCCACCCUUAUAGCUUUCUUCUAUUAAGGGAGGUAUGUGCAUUCUUUUAGAGGAUAGAUGUGCACAAACACAAAAACUAUUUUGGGGAGGGGGUCUAGAAGUGGGACAUAUUGUAAUAUAUUCUCCUGCAAAUUGCCUCUUUCAUUUAAUAGUCUUUUCAAUGGGCUUUUUCUACUUCAGUAAUACAUACAUAUCUGUGCCAUUUGUUGAAUGACUGCAUGACUGUUUUGUAGAUGAAAUAUAAUUAAAUGUUUUAAGCAUUUCUCAUUCAUAGAUAUUUAUGUUAGCACCAAAUUUCUGUGCAAUGAACCUCCCUAUAUAUCAACAAUCUUGCUUUUGUUUAUUAUAUCAUAAUAAAAUUACUAAGCAGUUGAAUCACUGGGAUUAAGAAUAUACACACUUCAAAUUCUGAAAAUUAUUGCAAAAUUUUCCUUUAAAAUGUGGUUAACAAUUUUAUCCUUCAUGGCAAUGAAUGAGAUUGCCAACUUUCCCACAACCGUACAGAUAAUGGAUUUUAUAAAUAUUUAAAAUCUUUGCCAAUGUUAUCGCCCAAACUAUUGUCUUAAAUUGUAUUUCUUUUGUUUUUUUAGUUUUGUCAUUUUUUCAUGUUUAUUAGUCAUCUGUAUUUUUUAAUUUCUUCUUUUAUGUCCAAUUUUGAGGGUUUGGGAAGGUUUUAGUCUCUUCCAGAUUUCAAAGAGCACAUUUACUAUUGAGGAAAUAAGCUUUGGAUUGUCAAGCAUUACAGAUUUUUUUACACACUUUUUAACUUUAUUUUGUUACAAGAAUGUGUAUGAUUGUUAUAUGUCCAAGUAUAACCAUGUUUGCUUUUAUGGUUUCUGAGUUUCAUGUCAUUUUUGGAAAGAUACUUAUACUUAGUCCAUAAAACCCU
rnacentral:lncRNA from 1 species